GACGAACGCUGGCGGCGUGCUUAACACAUGCAAGUCGAACGGAAAGGCCCUGCUUUUGUGGGGUGCUCGAGUGGCGAACGGGUGAGUAACACGUGAGUAACCUGCCCUUGACUUUGGGAUAACUUCAGGAAACUGGGGCUAAUACCGGAUAGGAGCUCCUGCUGCAUGGUGGGGGUUGGAAAGUUUCGGCGGUUGGGGAUGGACUCGCGGCUUAUCAGCUUGUUGGUGGGGUAGUGGCUUACCAAGGCUUUGACGGGUAGCCGGCCUGAGAGGGUGACCGGCAACAUGGGGACUGGGAUACGGCCAGACUCCUACGGGAGGCAGCAGUGGGGAAUAUUGCACAAUGGGCGGAAGCCUGAUGCAGCAACGCCGCGUGCGGGAUGACGGCCUUCGGGUUGUAAACCGCUUUCGCCUGUGACGAAGCGUGAGUGACGGUAAUGGGUAAAGAAGCACCGGCUAACUACGUG
rnacentral:rRNA from 1 species